rnacentral:rRNA from 1 species
UACUCCUACGGGAGGCAGCAGUGAGGAAUAUUGGUCAAUGGGGGCAACCCUGAACCAGCCAAGUCGCGUGAAGGAUGAAGGUCUUAUGGAUUGUAAACUUCUUUUAUACAGGAAUAAAUUGGGGGACGUGUCCCCUUUUGCAUGUACUGUAUGAAUAAGGAUCGGCUAACUCCGUGCCAGCAGCCGCGGUAAUA